rnacentral:tRNA from 1 species
GCGCUUGUAGCUCAGCUGGAUAGAGCGUCUGUCUACGGAACAGAAGGCCGGGGAUUCGAAUUCCUCCAGGCGCACCA